rnacentral:ncRNA from 1 species
CAGACUAAGGUGCAAGCAGACAGACCGCAUAGGCGUCCCGUGGGCUUAGUAGGCGUGCUGUGUGGGUGCUUGAUGGAAUGCCUGGCUCGUCCAUGCUACGCCGUUGGGCGUCUGCAAAAACAUGCUAACGACGUUUGUGGGGCGGCUGAGGCGAAGGCAGUCGAACGUCAAGGGCGUUCUAUGGUCUUAGUAGGCAUGUUUCAUUGGCGCUUGACGGCAUGCAGGGCUCAUCCGUGCUACACCAUAGGAUGAUUACAAAAAUAUGCCCGCGACGUCUGCAGGGUGUUUGAAGCGGUGGCAGGCGAACGCCACAGGCGUCCUGUGGGCUUAGUAGGCGUGCUGUGUGGGCGCUUGAUGGCAUGCAUGGCUUGUCCGUGCUACGCCAUUGGGCGUUAACAAAAACAUGCAAGCAACGUCUGUGGGGCAACUGAGGCCAAAACAGGCGGACGUCAAGGGCGUCAUGUGGGCUUAGUAGGCGUGCUGCGUGGGCACUUGACAUCGAAAUUUAAAUAAGAAGCGGGGCAUUUCCCCUCUUUUUGGACAUAAGGCUGGCUUCGUGGGCUGAUCUGGGCGGAAGACAUUGUUAGGUGGGGAGUUUGGCUGGGGCGGCACAUCUGUUAAAAGAUAGUGCAGGUGUCCUAAGAUGAGCUCAGUGAGAACAGAAAUCUCGUGUGGAACAGAAGGGUAAAAGCUCACUUGAUUCUGAUUUCCAGUACGAAUACGAACUGUGAAAGUGUGGCCUAACGAUCCUUUAGACCUUCGGAAUUCGAAGCUAGAGGUGUCAGAAAAGUUACCGCAAGGAAAACUGGCUUGUGGCAGCCAAGCGUUCAUAGCGACGUUGCUUUUUUAUCCUUCGAUGACGGCUCUUCCUAUCAUUGUGAAGCAGAAUUCAACAAGUGUUGGAUUGUUCACCCACCAAUAGGGAACGUGAGCGGGGUUUAGAACGUCGUGAGACAGCUUAGUUUUGCCCUCUUGAUGACAGUGUCGCAAUAGUAAUUCAACCUCGUACGAGAGGAACCGUUGAUUCACACAAUUGGCCAUCAUGCUUGGUUGAAAAUCCAGUGGCGCGAAGCUACCAUGUGCUGGAUUAUGACUGAACUCCUCUAAGUUAGAAUCCGGGCUAGAAGCGACGCAUGCGCCUGCUGUCCGCUCGCCGACACGCAGUAGGGGCCUAUGGCCCCCAAGGGCACAUGUCGUUGGCUAAAUCAUCGCGACGAAAGCUUUGUGGUGACCUCCUUGAAGUACAAUUUCCAUCGAGCGGCGGGUAGAAUCCUUUGCAUAGGACAUAAAUAUGCGAUGGGGUAUUGUAAGUGGAAGAGUGGCCUUGCUGGGACGAUCCACUAANNNNNNNNNNNNNNNNNNNNNNNNNNN